rnacentral:rRNA from 1 species
GAUGAACGCUGGCGGCGUGCCUAAUACAUGCAAGUCGAGCGAACGGACGAGAAGCUUGCUUCUCUGAUGUUAGCGGCGGACGGGUGAGUAACACGUGGAUAACCUACCUAUAAGACUGGGAUAACUUCGGGAAACCGGAGCUAAUACCGGAUAAUAUUUUGAACCGCAUGGUUCAAAAGUGAAAGACGGUCUUGCUGUCACUUAUAGAUGGAUCCGCGCUGCAUUAGCUAGUUGGUAAGGUAACGGCUUACCAAGGCAACGAUGCAUAGCCGACCUGAGAGGGUGAUCGGCCACACUGGAACUGAGACACGGUCCAGACUCCUACGGGAGGCAGCAGUAGGGAAUCUUCCGCAAUGGGCGAAAGCCUGACGGAGCAACGCCGCGUGAGUGAUGAAGGUCUUCGGAUCGUAAAACUCUGUUAUUAGGGAAGAACAUAUGUGUAAGUAACUGUGCACAUCUUGACGGUACCUAAUCAGAAAGCCACGGCUAACUACGUGCCAGCAGCCGCGGUAAUACGUAGGUGGCAAGCGUUAUCCGGAAUUAUUGGGCGUAAAGCGCGCGUAGGCGGUUUUUUAAGUCUGAUGUGAAAGCCCACGGCUCAACCGUGGAGGGUCAUUGGAAACUGGAAAACUUGAGUGCAGAAGAGGAAAGUGGAAUUCCAUGUGUAGCGGUGAAAUGCGCAGAGAUAUGGAGGAACACCAGUGGCGAAGGCGACUUUCUGGUCUGUAACUGACGCUGAUGUGCGAAAGCGUGGGGAUCAAACAGGAUUAGAUACCCUGGUAGUCCACGCCGUAAACGAUGAGUGCUAAGUGUUAGGGGGUUUCCGCCCCUUAGUGCUGCAGCUAACGCAUUAAGCACUCCGCCUGGGGAGUACGACCGCAAGGUUGAAACUCAAAGGAAUUGACGGGGACCCGCACAAGCGGUGGAGCAUGUGGUUUAAUUCGAAGCAACGCGAAGAACCUUACCAAAUCUUGACAUCCUUUGACAACUCUAGAGAUAGAGCUUUCCCCUUCGGGGGACAAAGUGACAGGUGGUGCAUGGUUGUCGUCAGCUCGUGUCGUGAGAUGUUGGGUUAAGUCCCGCAACGAGCGCAACCCUUAAGCUUAGUUGCCAUCAUUAAGUUGGGCACUCUAAGUUGACUGCCGGUGACAAACCGGAGGAAGGUGGGGAUGACGUCAAAUCAUCAUGCCCCUUAUGAUUUGGGCUACACACGUGCUACAAUGGACAAUACAAAGGGCAGCGAAACCGCGAGGUCAAGCAAAUCCCAUAAAGUUGUUCUCAGUUCGGAUUGUAGUCUGCAACUCGACUACAUGAAGCUGGAAUCGCUAGUAAUCGUAGAUCAGCAUGCUACGGUGAAUACGUUCCCGGGUCUUGUACACACCGCCCGUCACACCACGAGAGUUUGUAACACCCGAAGCCGGUGGAGUAACCUUUUAGGAGCUAGCCGUCGAAGGUGGGACAAAUGAUUGGGGUGAAGUCGUAACAAGGUAGCCGUAUCGGAAGGUGCGGCUGGAUCACCUCCUUUCUAAGGAUAUAUUCGGAACAUCUUCUUCAGAAGAUGCGGAAUAAUGUGACAUAUUGUAUUCAGUUUUGAAUGUUUAUUUAACAUUCAAAUAUUUUUUGGUUAAAGUGAUAUUGCUUUUGAAAAUAAAGCAGUAUGCGAGCGCUUGACUAAAAAAAUUGUACAUUGAAAACUAGAUAAGUAAGUAAAAUAUAGAUUUUACCAAGCAAAACCGAGUGAAUAAAGAGUUUUAAAUAAGCUUGAAUUCAUAAGAAAUAAUCGCUAGUGUUCGAAAGAACACUCACAAGAUUAAUAACGCGUUUAAAUCUUUUUAUAAAAGAAAACGUUUAGCAGACAAUGAGUUAAAUUAUUUUAAAGCAGAGUUUACUUAUGUAAAUGAGCAUUUAAAAUAAUGAAAACGAAGCCAUAUGUGAGCGUUUGACUUAUAAAAAUGGUGGAAACAUAGAUUAAGUUAUUAAGGGCGCACGGUGGAUGCCUUGGCACUAGAAGCCGAUGAAGGACGUUACUAACGACGAUAUGCUUUGGGGAGCUGUAAGUAAGCUUUGAUCCAGAGAUUUCCGAAUGGGGAAACCCAGCAUGAGUUAUGUCAUGUUAUCGAUAUGUGAAUACAUAGCAUAUCAGAAGGCACACCCGGAGAACUGAAACAUCUUAGUACCCGGAGGAAGAGAAAGAAAAUUCGAUUCCCUUAGUAGCGGCGAGCGAAACGGGAAGAGCCCAAACCAACAAGCUUGCUUGUUGGGGUUGUAGGACACUCUAUACGGAGUUACAAAGGACGACAUUAGACGAAUCAUCUGGAAAGAUGAAUCAAAGAAGGUAAUAAUCCUGUAGUCGAAAAUGUUGUCUCUCUUGAGUGGAUCCUGAGUACGACGGAGCACGUGAAAUUCCGUCGGAAUCUGGGAGGACCAUCUCCUAAGGCUAAAUACUCUCUAGUGACCGAUAGUGAACC